rnacentral:rRNA from 1 species
UGGGGAAUAUUGGACAAUGGGCGAAAGCCUGAUCCAGCCAUGCCGCGUGUGUGAAGAAGGUCUUCGGAUUGUAAAGCACUUUAAGUUGGGAGGAAGGGCAUUAACCUAAUACGAUAGUGUUUUGACGUUAACGACAGAAUAAGCACCGGCUAACUCUGUGCCAGCAGCCGCGGUAAUACAGAGGGUGCAAGCGUUAAUCGGAAUUACUGGGCGUAAAGCGCGCGUAGGUGGUUUGUUAAGUUGGAUGUGAAAUCCCCGGGCUCAACCUGGGAACUGCAUUCAAAACUGACUGACUAGAGUAUGGUAGAGGGUGGUGGAAUUUCCUGUGUAUCGGUGAAAUGCGUAGAUAUAGGAAGGAACACCAGUGGCGAAGGCGACCACCUGGACUAAUACUGACACUGAGGUGCGAAAGCGUGGGGAGCAAACA